GUACUGCUGAGGAGUCCAAUAAUCGGACGAAACGACCGUCCAGUGC
rfam:Schistosoma mansoni, Puerto Rico, WGS project CABG01000000 data, contig: 0076